rnacentral:rRNA from 1 species
UACAGAGGUCUCAAGCGUUUGUUCGGAUUCAUUGGGCGUAAAGGGUGCGUAGGCGGCGCGGUAAGUCGGGUGUGAAAUCUCGGAGCUUAACUCCGAAACUGCAUUCGAUACUGCCGUGCUUGAGGACUGGAGAGGAGACUGGAAUUUACGGUGUAGCGGUGAAAUGCGUAGAUAUCGUAAGGAAGACCAGUGGCGAAGGCGGGUCUCUGGACAGUUCCUGACGCUGAGGCACGAAGGCCCAGGGGAGCAAAACGGG